rnacentral:rRNA from 1 species
CCUACGGGAGGCAGCAGUGGGGGAUCUUGCGCAAUGGGGGGAACCCUGAUGCAGCGACGCCGCGUGGGUGAAGAAGCGCCUCGGCGCGUAAAGCCCUGUCGUCAGGGAAGAAAAUGACGGUACCUAAAGAAGAGGCCCCGGCUAACUACGUGCCAGCAGCCGCGGUAAUACGUAGGGGGCAAGCGUUAUCCGGUUUUACUGGGUGUAAAGGGGGCGCAGGCGGUGUUGCAAGCCAGGAGGGAAAGCCCUGGGCUCAACCCCGGGCCGUGACUUGGAACUGGGUGGGUGGAGUGCAGGAGGGGAAGGUGGAAUUCCUGGUGUAGCGGUGAAAUGCGUAGAUAUCAGGAGGAACACCGGUGGCGAAGGCGGCCUGCUGGACUGUAACUGACGUUGAGGCCCGAAAGCGUGGGGAGCAAACAGGAUUAGAUACCCGGGUAGUC